CUCGCAGGCGGUUUCUUAAGUCUGAUGUGAAAGCCCCCGGCUCAACCGGGGAGGGUCAUUGGAAACUGGGAAACUUGAGUGCAGAAGAGGAGAGUGGAAUUCUACGUGUAGCGGUGAAAUGCGUAGAGAUGUGGAGGAACACCAGUGGCGAAGGCGACUCUCUGGUCUGUAACUGACGCUGAGGAGCGAAAGCGUGGGGAGCGAACA
rnacentral:rRNA from 1 species